rnacentral:rRNA from 1 species
GCUGCUCCUGACAUGAAUGUGAUCUAUACCGCGCGUAUUUUGACAGUGUGCAGGUGUACCAUUCAUUAGUUUUUUAAUUGAAAACUUGUAUGAAAGGUUGGACAAAAAAAAAGCUGUCUCUUCUUUAAAAUUGAAAUUAACUUCUGAGUGAAAAGGCUUAUAUUUUCUCUAGGGAGGAGAUAACCCUAUAAAGCUUUAUAUAUUGAUUGGAUUAAACCAAUUUUUUAAAAUAAAAGUAAAUUUGUAAAAUGUUUUUGCUUGGGGAGACUUAUGUUUUUAGUUGAAUAACUGUUUAUACCGGUUAAACAAUUAUAUUUGAUAAAAAUUUAAAUGAUCCUUAAUAAAGAUUAAAAGAUCAAGUUACUUUAGGGAUAACAGCGUAAUUUCUUUUAAGAGUUCUUAUCAAAGAAGGAGUUUGCGACCUCGAUGUUGAAUUAAAAUGUCUUUAUAGUGCAGCAGCUAUAAAAGAAGGUCUGUUCGACCUUUAAUUUUUUACGUGAUCUGAUUUCAGACCGGGGAAA